rnacentral:rRNA from 1 species
UGAGGAAUAUUGGUCAAUGGACGCAAGUCUGAACCAGCCAAGUAGCGUGCAGGAUGACGGCCCUAUGGGUUGUAAACUGCUUUUAUAUGGGAAUAAAGUGAGGGACGUGUCCCUUAUUGCAUGUACCAUACGAAUAAGGACCGGCCAAUUCCGUGCCAGCAGCCGCGGUAAUACGGAAGGUCCAGGCGUUAUCCGGACUUAUUGGGUUUAAAGGGAGCGUAGGCUGUUUGUUAAGCGUGUUGUGAAAUGUAGGAGCUCAACUUUUAGAUUGCAGCGCGAACUGGCAGACUUGAGUGCGCACAACGUAGGCGGAAUUCAUGGUGUAGCGAUGAAAUGCUUAGAUAUCAUGACGAACUCCGAUUGCGAAGGCAGCUUACGGGAGCGCAACUGACGCUAAAGCUCGAAGGUGCGGGUAUCGAACAGG